GACGAACGCUGGCGGCGUGCUUAACACAUGCAAGUCGAACGGAAAGGCCCUGCUUUUGUGGGGUGCUCGAGUGGCGAACGGGUGAGUAACACGUGAGUAACCUGCCCUUGACUUUGGGAUAACUUCAGGAAACUGGGGCUAAUACCGGAUAGGAGCUCCUGCUGCAUGGUGGGGGUUGGAAAGUUUCGGCGGUUGGGGAUGGACUCGCGGCUUAUCAGCUUGUUGGUGGGGUAGUGGCUUACCAAGGCUUUGACGGGUAGCCGGCCUGAGUGGGUGACCGGCCACAUUGGGACUGAAAUACGGCCCAGACUCCUACGGGAGGCAGCGGUGGGGAAUAUUGCACAAUGGGCGGAAGCCUGAUGCAGCAACGCCGCGUGCGGGAUGACGGCCUUCGGGUUGUAAACCGCUUUCGCCUGUGACGAAGCGUGAGUGACGGUAAUGGGUAAAGAAGCACCGGCUAACUACGUG
rnacentral:rRNA from 1 species